AGUGUGUUAACAAUGGAGAUUCCUGCAGACAUAUCAAAUCAGAGUCUCCAGCGGAGGGGCCUGGGACGUGGAAUUUCCAACCAGCAGACCAGCUGAUUGCUAUGAUCAGCCUUUCUGAAGACCUUGAUUUGUAUUUUAAGCAGUAACUGCACUCUAGCAAGCAGCUAGUUGUCAGCGUUAUCUUCAUUUCUGCAAGACAGACCAGAUUCUUGGAGACAUAAGUGUCUUACCUCCUGGCCAGACCUGGCCACUUAGCCUGCGGAAGCGUCGGGACUCCUGACCGCUUGUCCAGAGGUUUUACUUAGGAGCUGCUGGAGGGAACGACAGCUGCUUGUGGAUCUCAGUGCUCAGCACUGGGCCAACGGCAAAGUAGUUUCUGGAGACUGUUAAUUGGAAAGCUGAGACUCAGAAGUGUUGCAUGCCAUAUCUGGUCCCUCAACAAGAGCAGGCCUGUUGGAUGAGAACCACGAAGGCAGCUGACUCUGCAGAUGGUCAACAGAGCUUCAGAAAUCGUGAAGUGUCAGGACCUCAAAUCAAUAAGAGAGCUGGGCCCUACCUAGUGAGCAGAUAUUA
rnacentral:lncRNA from 1 species